rnacentral:rRNA from 1 species
UACGAAGGGGGCUAGCGUUGUUCGGAAUUACUGGGCGUAAAGGGCGCGUAGGCUGUGCUGUAAGUCAGGCGUGAAAGCCCCGGGCUCAACCUGGGAAUUGCGCUUGAUACUGCGGCGCUGGAAGGUGGGAGAGGAUGGCGGAAUUCCCAGUGUAGAGGUGAAAUUCGUAGAUAUUGGGAAGAACACCGGUGGCGAAGGCGGCCAUCUGGCCCACAUUUGACGCUGAGGCGCGAAAGCGUGGGGAGCGAACAGG